rnacentral:misc_RNA from 1 species
AGAGUCUUUACUCAUUGAUCCUAGUUCUGUGUCUGGUAAUGUCUCACUUCGCAAGCAAUUUUCCAAUGAUGAAGACACCAGUGCAAAGAUGACUAAGACUUCUGGAGAUGAAAGUCCUUCACAGGAACAAGGAGCAAAACAACUAGACAUAGGGCUCAAAACAUGCAGCAAUGGAGGUAAAAUUAUGUCUGAGGAGAUGUCUACUAUCUCUGAAUCUGGACAUUUGCCUACUCAUUACAGACAAGCAAGUGCAAACUUUUUUCAAGACACUGAUGAUUUUGUCUCACAAGAAGGUGAUUAUAAAGCUGGACUGCCAGCUUCAUCAGGUGCUUGUCA